GACGAACGCUGGCGGCGUGCUUAACACAUGCAAGUCGAACGGUAAGGCCCUUCGGGGUACACGAGUGGCGAACGGGUGAGUAACACGUGGGUGAUCUGCCCUGCACUUCGGGAUAAGCCUGGGAAACUGGGUCUAAUACCGGAUAGGACCACUGCCUGCAUGGGUGGUGGUGGAAAGCUUUUGCGGUGUGGGAUGGGCCUGCGGCCUAUCAGCUUGUUGGUGGGGUGAUGGCCUACCAAGGCGACGACGGGUAGCCGGCCUGAGAGGGUGACCGGCCACACUGGGACUGAGAUACGGCCCAGACUCCUACGGGAGGCAGCAGUGGGGAAUAUUGCACAAUGGGCGCAAGCCUGAUGCAGCGACGCCGCGUGAGGGAUGACGGCCUUCGGGUUGUAAACCGCUUUCAGCAGGGAAGAAGCCGCAAGGUGACGGUACCUGCAGAAGAAGCACCGGCUAACUACGUGCCAGCAGCCGCCGUAA
rnacentral:rRNA from 1 species